rnacentral:rRNA from 1 species
CAGGAUGAACGCUGGCGGCGUGCCUAACACAUGCAAGUCGAACGGGGUUAAGCAGAAAUUUCGGAUGGAAGCUUAACUUAGUGGCGGACGGGUGAGUAACGCGUGGAUAACCUGCCUCACACAGGGGGAUAGCAGCUGGAAACGGCUGGUAAUACCGCAUAAGACCACGGCAUCGCAUGAUGCAGCGGUAAAAGAUUUAUCGGUGUGAGAUGGAUCCGCGUCUGAUUAGCCAGUCGGCGGGGUAACGGCCCACCAAAGCGACGAUCAGUAGCCGGCCUGAGAGGGUGAACGGCCACAUUGGGACUGAGACACGGCCCAAACUCCUACGGGAGGCAGCAGUGGGGAAUAUUGCACAAUGGGCGCAAGCCUGAUGCAGCAACGCCGCCGUGAGUGAAGAAGUAUUUCGGUAUGUAAAGCUCUAUCGGCAGGGAAGAAAGGCCCUAUAAGGGAGAUGACGGUACCUGACUAAGAAGCCCCGGCUAACUACGUGCCAGCAGCCGC